rnacentral:rRNA from 1 species
GACGAACGCUGGCGGCGUGCUUAACACAUGCAAGUCGAACGGAAAGGCCUAGCUUGCUGGGUACUCGAGUGGCGAACGGGUGAGUAACACGUGGGUGAUCUGCCCCUGACUUUGGGAUAAGCCUGGGAAACUGGGUCUAAUACCGGAUAUUCAUUUUUCCUCGCAUGGGGAUUUGUGGAAAGCUUUUGCGGUUGGGGAUGGGCCCGCGGCCUAUCAGCUUGUUGGUGGGGUAAUGGCCUACCAAGGCGACGACGGGUAGCCGACCUGAGAGGGUGAUCGGCCACACUGGGACAGAGACACGGCCCAGACUCCUACGGGAGGCAGCAGUGGGGAAUGUUGCACAAGGGGCGCAAGCCGGAUGCAGCGACGCCGCGUGAGGGAUGACGGCCUUCGGGUUGUAAACCUCUUUCAGCUCCGACGAAGCGCAAGUGACGGUAGGAGCAGAAGAAGCACCGGCCAACUACGU